UACGAAGGGGGCUAGCGUUGCUCGGAAUCACUGGGCGUAAAGCGCACGUAGGCGGAUCUUUAAGUCAGGGGUGAAAUCCUGGAGCUCAACUCCAGAACUGCCUUUGAUACUGGGGAUCUCGAGUCCGGGAGAGGUGAGUGGAACUGCGAGUCUAGAGGUGAAAUUCGUAGAUAUUCGCAAGAACACCAGUGGCGAAGGCGGCUCACUGGCCCGGUACUGACGCUGAGGUGCGAAAGCGUGGGGAGCAAACAGG
rnacentral:rRNA from 1 species